ensembl:lncRNA
AAAUUACACUCCUAGUUAAGAAUGAGGCUUUUCGUCUGCUGGGCUUGCUGGAGCCCUGGACCACUACAAGCAGAAGGUGAACAUCGACCAGUCACGAGACGCCUCGGCUGUCAGCCUCUCGGAUUCCAAGUCCAGCCAGGACACCGAGAGCGAGCUGAUCAAGGGGUCGAAAAUGUAGUUUUUGCCAGAUGUUCACUGUCUGGGGACCAGGCCGUGAAGCGUUAUUGCUGGCAAUUGUCCAUGACCAGAGGUAAUUAAACUGUUCUAUGUUCUUUUUCUCUCCAUCUCAUCCUGGUCUUGUUGUACAUGGAACCUGUCUCGCAUGCAUUAACUAAAAAAACCUUAAGAUGUCAG